AGGAAGUAAGCUGCUGAUGGAGCUGUAGUAUCCCUUAGUCUCUGGCCCUGAAAGGGGGAGGAGGAAAGAACGAGGGCUGAGCAGUGGAAGGAGGAGGGAGCCAUUUCUCUCCACUGGCUGCAACCUCCGUGCUCACAGCUCACAUUUCCUGGGAAUCCAGAGGCCUCCUCGGCCAAGGACUCCAUGAUGCUGGAUAUUUUCAUCCUGAUGUUCUUUGCCAUCAUAGGCCUGGUCAUCCUGUCCUACAUUAUCUAUCUGCUCUAGUGGCCUGCAGCUGCGGCGGGAGCCCAGAGAAGAACAGCUCAGGGGGAAGGAUGAAGCUGACUUGGCCGAGCAUCCUGCUUGCUGACGACGCACCGGUGGAUUUUUGCUACUGGUCAUUAUCUCGGCUCCUGGUCUCCAGUCCAACAAGAGGCCUCUUAUCAACAGCAGCUGUCCUGCCGCCCAGCAGACCUCUUCCAGAGCCUUCCGGAUAUGGUUAACCCCUGGAAAGCAAGGGGCUUUUUGAGCUCAGAGGCAGAGGCACUCGGCUGGGACAUCAGGAAUUCAUGGGCAUGGCUGGCAGAUGCUGCGUGCGUUUGAGCGGUAGAUGCAGAGUGUUGUGAACACAGAGAGCUGAAAUGCAGACUCAUUAAAGUUACCAUGGAGAACUGCUCAAAAAUUCACUCUGAUAGCCCUUCCUUAGGUCUAAAUGCAGCUACAUAUUAUGCUAACAUAUGUUCUUUCCUUUCCCUUUCACAGGAAGAUGUUCCCUUGUAAGUCCAAGAGCACGUUGUCUCUGUUUAUCUAUAAGUAGUCACUUUAUCACUCUGUCUUUAGAGAUUGCACAGUCUGGGUUUGUGUGGUUUCCCUUGUCUUAGUCUCUAGCCGGAAGAAACCUGUCAUUUAAAUUUUUAAGAUUUAUCUUACUCAUUCCAUACCACUUGUGCCCCAGCUUCUCAUUUAAAGAGACAAAUGGUUAUAUAAUCCUCAUUCUUUGUACCUGGCUGAGUUAUAAAUUAUUGAAACAACACAGCUGUACUUAUCUUACUUGUUAUUUGGGAAAAAUCUCUCUCCUACCCCAAUAUAAAUGUUUUUAAAAUUA